UGAAUACGAGACGCUAAGGCGUCGAAGUAGUGUAUGUCAUACUUCCAAGAAAAGCUUGCACUGUCAUAAGUAAAAAAUGCCUGUACCAUAACCGACACAGGUGGGUAGGUAGAGUAUACUAAGGGGCGCGAGAUAACUCUCUCUAAGGAACUCGGCAAAAUAACUCCGUAACUUCGGGAGAAGGAGUACCUUAUUCUAUAAGGUUGCAAUAACAAGAUCCAAGCAACUGUUUAUCAAAAACACAGGUCUCCGCUAAGUCGUAAGACUAUGUAUGGGGGCUGACGCCUGCCCAGUGCCAGAAGGUUAAAGAAGUCGGUUAGCAUUAGCGAAGCUGGUAACUGAAGCCCUGGUGAACGGCGGCCGUAACUAUAACGGUCCUAAGGUAGCGAAAUUCCUUGUCGGGUAAGUUCCGACCCGCACGAAAGGCGUAAUGAUUUGGAUACUGUCUCGGAGAGGGGCUCGGUGAAAUAGACUUGUCUGUGAAGAUGCGGACUACCUGCACCAGGACAGAAAGACCCUAUGAAGCUUUACUGUAACUUGAAAUUGAAAUUGGACUUUAUUCGCGCAGUAUAGGUGGGAGGUGUUGAUUAUAAUCUUGCGGGAUUAUUGGAGCCAUCAGUGAGAUACCACUCUUGUAAUGUUAGAUUUCUAACUUUGAAUCAUUAUCUGGUCAAAGGACAGUUUCAGGCGGGCAGUUUGACUGGGGCGGUCGCCUCCCAAACGGUAACGGAGGCGUACAAAGGUUUCCUCUGAACGGGUAGAAAUCGUAUCUAGAGUGUAAAGGCAUAAGGAAGCUUGACUGUGAGACCUACAAGUCGAACAGGGACGAAAGUCGGUCUUAGUGAUCUGACGGUACUGAGUGGAAAGGCCGUCACUCAACGGAUAAAAGUUACUCUAGGAUAACAGGCUGAUCUCCCCCAAGAGUUCACAUCGACGGGGAGGUUUGGCACCCCGAUGUCGGCUCAUCGCAUCCUGGGGCGGUAGUACGUCCCAAGGGUUGGGCUGUUCGCCCAUGAAAGCGGUACGCGAGCUGGGUUCAGAACGUCGUGAGACAGUUCGGUCCAUAUCCGGUGUAGGCGUUAGAAUAUUGAGAGGAGCCUUCUUUAGUACGAGAGGACCGAGAAGGACAUACCUCUGGUGUACCAGUUAUCGUGCCAACGGUAAACGCUGGGUAGCUAUGUAUGGAGUGGAUAACCGCUGAAAGCAUCUAAGUGGGAAGCCCACCUCAAGAUAAGUAUUCUCAC
rnacentral:rRNA from 1 species